ACUCCUACGGGAGGCAGCAGUGGGGAAUAUUGCACAAUGGGGCACNAGCUGAUCAGCCAUGCCGCGUGUGUGAAGAAGGCCUUCGGGUUGUAAAGCACUUUCAGUAGGGAGGAAGGUAGUGUAGUUAACACCUGCAUUAUUUGACGUUACCUACAGAAGAAGCACCGGCUAACUCCGUGCCAGCAGCCGCGGUAAUACGGAGGGUGCGAGCGUUAAUCGGAAUUACUGGGCGUAAAGCGCAUGCAGGCGGCCUGUUAAGUCAGAUGUGAAAGCCCGGGGCUUAACCUCGGAAUUGCAUUUGAAACUGGCAGGCUAGAGUCUUGUAGAGGGGGGUAGAAUUUCAGGUGUAGCGGUGAAAUGCGUAGAGAUCUGAAGGAAUACCAGUGGCGAAGGCGGCCCCCUGGACAAAGACUGACGCUCAGAUGCGAAAGCGUGGGGAGCAAACAGGAUUAGAUGA
rnacentral:rRNA from 1 species